AGUGGGAUAACUGGGUCAAAUGGUGGUUUCAUUCCAAGUUUCUUGAGGAAUACCCAUACUGCUUUCCAGAGUGGUUGCACCAGUUUACAGUCCCACCAGCAAU
rnacentral:pre_miRNA from 1 species